rnacentral:tRNA from 1 species
GGAGAGGUGCCUGAGUGGCCGAAAGGGGCCGCCUGCUAAGCGGUUGUAGUUCCAAAAGAUCUACCGAGGGUUCGAAUCCCUCCCUCUCCG